rnacentral:rRNA from 1 species
UACGGAGGGUGCAAGCGUUGUCCGGAAUCACUGGGCGUAAAGGGCGCGUAGGCGGCUCAUGAAGGCUGUGGUGAAAGUCCGGGGCUCAACCUCGGAUCGGCCGUGGCGACUCGUGGGCUGGAGCGCUGUAGAGGCGGGUGGAAUUCCGGGUGUAGCGGUGGAAUGCGUAGAGAUCCGGAAGAACACCAGUGGCGAAGGCGGCCCGCUGAGCAGUGGCUGACGCUGAGGCGCGACAGCGUGGGGAGCAAACAGG